rnacentral:rRNA from 1 species
UACGAGGGGGGCAAGCGUUGUUUGGAAUUACUGGGCGUAAAGCGUGCGCAGGCGGUUCGCUGUGGCCUGUGUGAAAGCCCCGGGCUUAACCUGGGAAUGGCAUGGGAAACUGGCGAGCUUGAGUGCGGCAGAGGGGGGUGGAAUUCCCGGUGUAGUGGUGAAAUGCGUAGAGAUCGGGAGGAACACCAGUGGCGAAAGCGGCUCACUGGACCACAACUGACGCUGAGGCGCGAAAGCUAGGGGAGCAAACAGG